UCUCGCACUGAUCUGCGUAUGUGCAGGUGGUCAAAUCAAAUGCACUCCUUUGAUAUAAAGUUGUUUGACAAAUUAAAACGUGUCAGUUUCACAAGGUUGGAGUAGUAACAUAUUCAACUACUUAACGUUAAGACAUUGGCUCGAAUCUAGGUGGUGCCUUGAGUGAGAGAAUGAACUACUAAGGAAGAAUUUCACUUCUCACUGACUUCUAAAAUCUGGUCUGCUUCGCAAGCGUCCCUGCAAGUCUAGCCAAGUGGCGCCUCUGGGUUUAGAAACUCUGUGGUGUAGCCAUAACAUUACCUUUCCAACCAGUGAUGGCCAAAGAGGAGAAAUGCCUCUGCUGUCUGGACUGGGCACAGGGACUGCUAGUAGAGAUUGAGAGUGCAUGCCUCCUUGCCCCAGCUUUGGCUUCCACACUGACAGAGGGAUAAUGUUACUUACCUCCUUCUUCCACAUGUCGAACUAGAAUUGGAGGAAGCAGCCCAGACCAGAGGGUCCCAGAGCACAGAUGUCCUACAGCCUGAAGGAGUUGGCCAUGCGACCUGAGCAGCUGGGACCAGAGAACCCAUUGGUGCUGCUGGCGUGUGUCUGAUGGGCCCUACGUGGGGUUACUGGAGGAUGAGGAGUCACCUUUAAUAUUAAAUGUUUCAAUAAUCAAAAAUAUAACAUCUUUCUGUACAUCCUUGUCAUUAAAUGCAUGUUCUAUUCAGAUA